rnacentral:rRNA from 1 species
CGGGACGGGUGAGUAACGCGUGGGUAACCUGCCUUGUACAGGGGAUAACAGUUGGAAACGGCUGCUAAUACCGCAUAAGCGCACGGCAUCGCAUGAUGCAGUGUGAAAAACUCCGGUGGUAUAAGAUGGACCCGCGUUGGAUUAGCUAGUUGGUGAGGUAACGGCCCACCAAGGCGACGAUCCAUAGCCGACCUGAGAGGGUGACCGGCCACAUUGGGACUGAGACACGGCCCAA